UACGUAGGGUGCGAGCGUUGUCCGGAAUUAUUGGGCGUAAAGGGUGCGUAGGUGGCGCUGUAAGUCGGGUGUGAAAUUUCGGAGCUUAACUCCGAAACUGCAUUCGAUACUGCGGUGCUUGAGGACUGGAGAGGAGACUGGAAUUCAUGGUGUAGCAGUGAAAUGCGUAGAGAUCAUGAGGAAGACCAGUGGCGAAGGCGGGUCUCUGGACAGUUCCUGACACUGAGGCACGAAGGCCAUGGGAGCAAACGGG
rnacentral:rRNA from 1 species